ACCUAAAUCAGUUCUUAUAAUACCAGCUUCUCUGAGCGGAAUUUACUCCUCUUCUACAUGCCCUGACUACCGCUUUCACACCCGCACACAAUGUUCGAAUUUCCCGACGCAAAACGCGUCUGUCGCGAAGAUCUACAAUCCCGCCGUUCCUCCCGCUCCCCAUCGCCUCUAGACACCGCCACAGCCACAUAUGCCGCAAACGCGCUGCGAAACAUCUUCUCGUCAGUAGGAACUUAUACUCCUCCUCCUCCUCAUCUACGACCAGCAAAUCCUACGGCAGACUUGGGACAUAUCCAGGAUGAAGGUGAGGAGCAGGAGUUCGAGUUCAGACUCUUUCGUGAACCGCAGGUGUGUGCGCAGAAAGGGGC
rnacentral:sRNA from 1 species